rnacentral:rRNA from 1 species
UACGAAGGGUGCGAGCGUUAUUCGAAAUUACUGGGCGUAAAGAGUGCGUAGACGGUAUGUUAAGUUCGUUGUUAAAGACUCUGGCCUAACUGGAGGGUUGCAAUGAAAACUGGCGUGCUAGAGGGUGAGAGAGAGAAGUGGAAUUCCCGGAGUAGCGGUAAAAUGCGUGGAUCUCGGGAGGAACACCAAUGGCGAAGGCAGCUUCUUGGCUCAUUCCUGACGUUGAGGCACGAAAGCGUGGGGAGCAAACAGG